UGAGGAAUAUUGCACAAUGGGCGAAAGCCUGAUGCAGCGACGCCGCGUGGGUGAAGAAGGUUUUCGGAUCGUAAAACCCUUUUCUGUGUGACGAGAACGGACGGUAGCACAGGAAUAAGUCUCGGCUAACUACGUGCCAGCAGCCGCGGUAAAACGUAGGAGACAAACGUUAUCCGGAGUUACUGGGCGUAAAGGGCGUGCAGGCGGCAGUCUAAGUCUGGCGUGAAAUAUCCCGGCUCAACCGGGGAAGGUCGUCGGAUACUGGGCAGCUAGAGGACGGUAGAGGCGUGUGGAAUUCCGGGUGUAGUGGUGAAAUGCGUAGAGAUCCGGAGGAACACCAGUGACGAAGGCGACACGCUGGGCCGUACCUGACGCUAAGACGCGACAGCAUGGGGAGCAAACAGGAUUAGAUACCCACGUAGUCCCUGAGCGGGCUGGCAAGGCGCAU
rnacentral:rRNA from 1 species